GUGACUGUUCCUGGUAAUGAUUGCAUUUGUCAGUUGUACAGUGUAACCACAGACAGUCACACACAUCAAAACAUGGUUCCUGCUGACAGAGUCUAUAGAGUUAUCAGAUUUUCUGUGCGAUGGCUCCAUACACU
ensembl:scaRNA small Cajal body-specific RNA 14